GGCCGCCUGUGCUGUUGAAGGAGCAGGCUGGAAUCGCAUACUGCUGACAGCUCCUCUCCUGGGUUUCUGUGAGAAUAAACUGAGAAUCAACCCAUGGGUGACACAUGGAAGACUUCCCCAGUCUCCUGCAGAACAGGAUUUCGCCCGUCAUGACCACAGGAGUGGGGACGGGAAGAACAGAGUGAAGGAAGAAAGACCAAGACAGAGAUGGGACAUUAGUUCUCUGACGAGGGAUUGAACUCACUCUCCCGGCAUUGGAAGCAUGGAGUUUUAACCACUGGACUGCCUGGCAAGUCCCCAAGAAAGAGAAACAGAAGCAUAAUACUUGUUUUUUAAAAUAAUGACGCCCCCUCCGAAUAAUAAUAAUGAAACUCAUUUAUAUUUAAGAAUAAAUGUCAUAAGCUAAAUAAUCAUUAUUCAGACACAUCCUAACUAAUAAUGUAUAUCAGCUUUUGUAGUUACGCUGUAUUCAGUGAAUAAUUAAUAA
rnacentral:lncRNA from 1 species